AACGAACGCUGGCGGCAUGCCUAACACAUGCAAGUCGAACGAGACCUUCGGGUCUAGUGGCGCACGGGUGCGUAACGCGUGGGAACCUGCCCUUAGGUUCGGAAUAACUCCCCGAAAGGGGUGCUAAUACCGGAUAAUGUCUUCGGACCAAAGAUUUAUCGCCUUUGGAUGGGCCCGCGUUGGUUUAGCUAGUUGGUAGGGUAAAAGCCUACCAAGGCGACGAUCCAUAGCUGGUCUGAGAGGAUGAUCAGCCACACUGGGAGUGAGACACGGCCCGGACUCCUACGGGAGGCAGCAGUGGGGGAUAUUGGACAAUGGGCGAAAGCCUGAUCCAGCAAUGCCGCGUGAGUGAUGAAGGCCUUAAAGUUGUAAAGCUCUUUUACCCAGGAUGAUAAUGACAGUACCGGGAGAAUAAGCUCCGGCUAACUCCGUG
rnacentral:rRNA from 1 species